rnacentral:rRNA from 1 species
AUUGAACGCUGGCGGCGUGCUUAACACAUGCAAGUCGUGCGGUAACAGGCGUAGCAAUACGUGCUGACGAGCGGCGAACGGGUGCGUAAUACAUGGGAAUCUGCCCUUUAGUGGGGAAUAACCCGGCGAAAGCCGGGCUAAUGCCGCAUAAGAUCUUCGGAUGAAAGGCGGGGGAUCGUAAGACCUCGCGCUGAUGGAUGACGCCCAUGCCGGAUCAGCUAGUUGGUGAGGUAACGGCUCACCAAGGCGACGAUCCGUAGCUGGUCUGAGAGGACGGCCAGCCACACUGGGACUGAGACACGGCCCAGACUCCUACGGGAGGCAGCAGUGGGGAAUAUUGGACAAUGGGGGAAACCCUGAUCCAGCGACGCCGCGUGUGUGAAGAAGGCCUGCGGGUUGUAAAG